UGGGGAAUAUUGCACAAUGGGGGAAACCCUGAUGCAGCAACGCCGCGUGAGUGAUGAAGGCCUUCGGGUCGUAAAGCUCUGUCUUUGGGGACGAUAAUGACGGUACCCAAGGAGGAAGCCACGGCUAACUACGUGCCAGCAGCCGCGGUAAUACGUAGGUGGCAAGCGUUGUCCGGAUUUACUGGGCGUAAAGGGAGCGUAGGUGGAUACUUAAGUGGGAUGUGAAAUCCCCGAGCUUAACUCGGGGGCUGCAUUCCAAACUGGGUGUCUUGAGUGCAGGAGAGGAAAGUGGAAUUCCUAGUGUAGCGGUGAAAUGCGUAGAGAUUAGGAAGAACACCAGUGGCGAAGGCGACUUUCUGGACUGUAACUGACACUGAGGCUCGAAAGCGUGGGGAGCAAACA
rnacentral:rRNA from 1 species